rnacentral:lncRNA from 1 species
UUUACAGCCAAAUUGUAAAUCACAUAUUAAAUUUUAAAAGGAACAAAUAAAUGGCAAAACCCAAAAUUUCAUUUACAGCCACACCGGUCAAAAUUCACACAAAAGAAGAAUAAAUUAAAUAGAACCAUCAAUUACACAUAACGAAAAUCAACACACGAACUUACCAAGAUGGAGGAAGCAGCUGGAGAAGACGAAGUGGGUUUCUGGGUUUUGGCUGAAAUCUGCUCCUCAGAUGGAGUUGCUAAGGAUUGGAUUUGGGCAAGCACAGAGAAGAGCUCCUGGAGGCGCUACGGAUUGGAUCGGCUUCAUGUACAGUUUCCUCUGGUGCUGUGACUUCUGUAAGCCCCCCUUCACUUCAGAUGAAAGGGCUAAAGCCCGAGUCUCUACUGCUCCGAAAACUCAGUAUUCACAGAGGUAGACAGGAAAUGGGGUCUCACAGAGUCCUCUAGUUCCCUAUGUUGUGUUCGAUUUUGGAAACCAGAAUGGAGCGGACUGGCCGCGUCUUCUUCUCCUCCAAACCUGCCUUUCUCUUUCCUCACAUGCCACUCACAUGCUGAAUCACAAAGGCUGAACAGGUCAUUAAGUCAUUGAAUCUCAGCCAUCCUUUUUUAACAUGGAACCUCAACCGUUGGAUGGCCGGCUGUACCAGUACAGCUGAG